GAUGAACGCUGACAGAAUGCUUAACACAUGCAAGUCUUUGGCGAAGCUGUGCUUGCACCGCCUAGCCAAGGCGGACGGGUGAGUAACGCGUAAGGAACUUGCCCUGCAGUCAGGGAUAACAGACGGAAACGACUGAUAAGACCUGGUAAAGUCAGGCGGACUCAUGUCCAGCCUGAUGAAAAGAGAUGCUGCAGGAGAGCCUUGCGUCCUAUUAGCUUGUUGGUGGGGUAACGGCCCACCAAGGCGAUGAUAGGUAGCCGGCCUGAGAGGGUGGACGGCCACAAGGGGACUGAGAUACGGCACUUACUCCUACGGGAGGCAGCAGUGGGGAAUAUUGGACAAUGGGGGCAACCCUGAUCCAGCAAUUCUGUGUGCACGAUGAAGGUUUUCGGAUUGUAAAGUGCUUUCAGCAGGGAAGAAAAAAAUGACGGUACCUGCAGAAGAAGCGACGGCUAAAUACGUG
rnacentral:rRNA from 1 species